UGAGGAAUAUUGGUCAAUGGGCGGGAGCCUGAACCAGCCAAGCCGCGUGAGGGAGGAAGGCCCUAUGGGUCGUAAACCUCUUUUGUCAGGGAACAAAAGCGAGUAUGUAUACUAGUCUGAGUGUACCUGAAGAAAAAGCAUCGGCUAACUCCGUGCCAGCAGCCGCGGUAAUACGGAGGAUGCGAGCGUUAUCCGGAUUUAUUGGGUUUAAAGGGUGCGUAGGCGGCGGUGCAAGUCAGCGGUAAAAGCCCGGGGCUCAACCCCGGCGAGCCGUUGAAACUGCAGUGCUAGAGAAGGCGAGAGGUACGCGGAAUGCGCAGUGUAGCGGUGAAAUGCUUAGAUAUUGCGCAGAACUCCGAUUGCGAAGGCAGCGUACUGGCGCCUGACUGACGCUGAGGCACGAAAGCGUGGGGAUCGAACAGGAUUAGGAUACCC
rnacentral:rRNA from 1 species